rfam:Myotis lucifugus cont2.10642, whole genome shotgun sequence.
GGCAGUGCUUGGGUGACGCACCCCAGAAUCGGACUCCCUCCUCUCUUCUUCUGGGGUACAUCACCCAAGAAUCACU